rnacentral:rRNA from 1 species
UACGUAGGGUGCGAGCGUUAAUCGGAAUUACUGGGCGUAAAGUGUGCGCAGGCGGUCUCGCAAGUCAAGUGUGAAAGCCCCGGGCUCAACCUGGGAAUUGCAUUCGAAACUGCGAGGCUAGGGUACGGAAGAGGGAAGCGGAAUUUCUGGUGUAGCGGUGAAAUGCGUAGAUAUCAGAAGGAACAUCAGUGGCGAAAGCGGCUUCCUGGUCCAGUACCGACGUUCAGGCACGAAAGCGUGGGGAGCAAACAGG